UUCUGGUUGAUCCUGCCAGAGGCGACCGCUUUUGGAGUUCGAUUAAGCCAUGCGAGUCGAGAGUCUUAGGGACUCGGCAUACUGCUCAGUAACACGUGGAUAACCUGCCCUAUCGUCUGGAAUAACCUCGGGAAACUGAGAAUAAGGCCGGAUAGUUCACAAUGCCUGGAACGGUUUGUGGAUAAAGGUAGGAUGGGUCUGCGGCGUAUCAGGUUGUAGGGGGUGUAACGGACCCCCUAGCCAUCGACGCGUACGGGUGUUGGGAGACAUAGCCCGGAGAUGGAUUCUGAGACACGAAUCCAGACCCUACGGGGUGCAGCAGGCGCGAAAACUUCACACUGCAGGAAACUGUGAUGAGGGAACUCCAAGUGUGUGCAUUUUAUGUACACUUUUCUGAACUCUUAAUCGGUUCAGGAAUAAGGGCUGGGAAAGACCGGUGCCAGCCGCCGCGGUAAUACCGGCAGCUCAAGUGGUCGUCGCUUUUAUUGGGCCUAAAACGUCCGUAGCCUGUUUGGUAAAUCUGUGGGUAAAUCAACCAGCUUAACUGGUUGAAUUCUGCAGAGACUGCCAGACUAGGGACCGGGAGAGGUGUGGGGUACUCGAGGGGUAGGGGUAAAAUCCUGUCAUCCUUCGAGGACCACCAGUUGCGAAGGCGCCACACUGGAACGGAUCCGACGGUCAGGGACGAAGCCUAGGGGCACGAACCGGAUUAGAUACCCGGGUAGUCCUAGGUGUAAACGCUGUGAACUUGGUGUCGGGGGUCCGCAAGGGGUCCCCGGUGCCGGAGUGAAGAUGUUAAGUUCACUGCCUGGGGAGUACGGUCGCAAGGCUGAAACUUAAAGGAAUUGGCGGGGGAGCACUGCAACGGGAGGAGCGUGCGGUUUAAUUGGACUCAACGCCGGGA
rnacentral:rRNA from 1 species